CCAAAUUAGUUUGUUAGAAAAUAUCACAAUCAGGUCCAAAAAAAAAAACCACACACACAUGGAAAUGGGCAAGAGAGGAAUUAAAAAACAGUCUCUCUCUCUCUCUCUCUCUCUCUCUCUCUCUCUCUCUCUCUCUCACACACACACACACACACACACACACACACACACACACACAGCUCUAAUAUAUCUAAUAUAUCUAAUAUAUUGCCCCAUAUCCUAUAAUUUUGGCCUUUAUAAAAUCCUCAAGCAUGGAUAAUAAUUAUCAACCUAAAUUUAGUAUCUAAACCUUGUUAUGAGUUUCUCAAUAUGUUUAAUUCCCUUUAUUAUUUUUAUAUAAAUAAUAGAAAUUAGAAAUUGGUAAAGAAAUUUCUGUCACAGAAAAGAUUUGUUCCAUUAAAAAGCCAGAUAUUCUCCAUCAGAUAAAUCUCCUCAACCAUGUCUGAAACAUGUUUUAAGUACAUUCUACUCCCAUCAUCACCGGAUAUGCAAAUACGAGCAUCAGGGUUAGAAUCACUCUAUUUAUGAGAUGUGAUGGACUCUGUUAAACUUUGGAGAACAGAGAAGAUCCCAAUACAAUCAACACACACCAUGUUCUCUACAUCUCUACUGCUCCUGCUGGCAGCUGCUUCCUAUGUGCAUGGUGAAGAGCUGACUCAGCCUGCUUCCAUGACAGUCCAGCCAGGCCAGAGUCUCUCCAUCAACUGCAAGGUUUCAUAUUCAGUUACCAGCUAUGGUACAGCUUGGAUCCGACAACCUGCAGGAAAAGCUCUGGAGUGGAUUGGAUACAUCAGUAGCGGUGGGGGUACAGAUUACAGUGACAAACUGAAAAAUAAGUUCAGCAUCUCCAGAGACACUGCUACUAACACAAUAACAAUUCGAGGACAGAAUCUGCAAACUGAAGACACAGCUGUGUAUUACUGUGCAAGAUACACAGUGACACAGAAUAGUGGAUUCUCCUUACAAAAACUUUGA